AGAACUGCGGUCACAGGUAUGCUUCUCUUGGUGCUCACGUACUUCCUGUGCUUGACAAUGGGCGUUUCGCUGACCGUAUGGUUUCGUGGCUGCGACCCUGGGCUGCUCGGCGUCAUCAAAAGCAUUGACCAAAUUCUGCCCUACUAUAUUAACACAUACUUGGUGCACAUACCCGGCUUUCUAGGCCUAUUUCUGGCUGGGGUCGUCUGUGCUGCCACAAGCACAAUAUCUUCAACAAUCAAUUCUCAGGCGACUAUAAUAUAUGUCGAUGUCAUAUCUCCUCACUGCAAGAACGCUGACCAACACGUGUUAUGGAUUACGCGAUGCACAGUCCUAAUUUUAGGCGUCAUCAUGACCGUUUACAGUACCCUCUGCGUAUACAUGGGAUCUUUGACAAGGGUG